CUUAAGCAUAUCAAUAAGCGGAGGAAAAGAAACCAACCGGGAUUGCCUCAGUAGCGGCGAGUGAAGCGGCAAGAGCUCAAAUUUGAAAUCUAGCACCGCUGGUGCUCGAGUUGUAAUUUGUAGAGUGGAUCCUUGGGGCCGUUCCUUGCCUAUGUUCCUUGGAACAGGACGUCAUGGAGGGUGAGAACCCCGUGUGGCGAGGGGCGCGGCUCCGUGUAAGGGCUGCUCGAAGAGUCGAGUUGUUUGGGAAUGCAGCUCUAAGUGGGUGGUAAAUUCCAUCUAAAGCUAAAUACAGGCGAGAGACCGAUAGCGAACAAGUACAGUGAUGGAAAGAUGAAAAGAACUUUGAAAAGAGAGUGAAAAAGUACGUGAAAUUGUUGAAAGGGAAGGGCAUUUGAUCAGACAUGGUGUUUUGCGCCCCCUGCUCCUUGUGGGCGGGGGACCCUCGCAGCUCACUGGGCCAGCAUCAGUUUUGGCGGCUGGAUAAAACCGGAGGAAUGUGGCUUCUCUCGGGAAGUGUUAUAGCCUGCGGGAAUGCGGCCAGCCGGGACUGAGGAACGCGACUUUUGUCAAGGAUGCUGGCAUAAUGGUUAUAUGCCGCCCGUCUG
rnacentral:rRNA from 1 species